GAGGUGAACAUGGGGAGGAGGUUUUAUAGGCUUGGAUGUGUCCAAAGCCAAACUGUAGUCCCAGCCUCUGCUUCAUUCCUGGGGCAGCCUCAGGCAACUCGUAUCUUCUCUGUGGUCUGUCACCUGUGACUCCUGAUUCCUGGAGUCCCUUCUAAUGCCAUGGUUCUGUGGUUGUGUGGCAAGGGCAAUGGGUUGGUCACCGAAAUUUCUCUUCCUGUUCUUGGUGCAUUCCUUACUGUGCUACCUCUGAUUACAGCAUAAAUAACGAGGACCUGAAGCAGCAGAACUCAGAAUUGGAAGAGAAGCUCCGUGUGGUGCUGGCAGAGAAAGCAGCUAUGCAGCUGGGGGCGGAGGAGCUCCAAAAGAAGCUGGAGAUGUCUGAGCUGCUGCUGCAACAAGUGAGGCAGCAGCCCCAGCAGCCCGAGCACUGGCUCCGUGCGGUUGUCAGGGUGGCCUCCAGCCAAGAGCUGGAAAAUUUGGGUUCUUAUCUGGUCCUGCCAUAGAAUCUUCCAGAGAUGGUUAAAAUCCACAAAUGGGAGCCCUGCCCAGACCUGUGGAAUCAGAAUCUCAAUGAUAUGGCUUUUUAAAUUUUUGUUUUUAAAUCAUCUUGGUUGAACACCAUCAUGUUGUAGAUUUCCUCUAUGUGGUUACCCAGUAGUCUGUUCCCUCUCCUGGGGGUUCAGCCAGCACUUUUAUUAUGUGGUAAUGACCCUGAGUCGUACACUGAUCUAGUUCACACCCUGUGGAGGCAUCAUGUGGAACACCUGGGCUCCCCAGAUCUAAACUUCUCACUUUCCCCACUUCAGUUCUCUAGCCGGUCUGAAGCCCCUGAUAGUAACCAGCAGUUACAGCAGGUCGUAGAGGAGCGGGCACAGCUGGAGAAACAUGUGGGGCAGGUAGGCUUUGCAGAGGGAGGGAUAUGGGAGGAAGAUGGCUCCAGGUGGCCAUGAGCAGGUAACAACCAGUGACAGUCCUUCCUAAUUUCUGUGCUCAUUCUUGUUAGCUGAUGGAGUUACUGAAACAACUGCAGGUGGAGAGAGACCACUAUGCAGAGAACCUGAAAGGAGAUAACGCCAUGUGGCAGCAGAGGAUGCAGCAGAUGUCAGAGCAGGUGAGGCCUGACCUCAGAUGGCUUGCUGGGUUUCCCUGGUGUGUCCUGCUGUGGAGUGCAACCAGGAGAGGGGUCCGUGUUCUGGAUUUUUGGAGGUGGGGGCAGAGAGGGAGUCGGGGCCAGGGUCCUCCAUGCCCUCCCUCUCUCUGCUCUUUCCCCCUGUGCCUGAGGCAGCUGUGCACAUUGAGGGAGGAGAAAGAACAGAGUGAGAGUCGGGUUCAGGAGUUGGAGACCAACUUGGCAGAACUGAAGAGCCAGAUGGGUGAGUGGGGACUAGGGUCACCUGGAGCCCGGAGUGUGUGAGGACUUGGGGGUGGCUUAGACUACCCCAGGGAGAGGAGUGAUUUCAAGGACACUGUGGCAGAGGGAAAGGGGUCUGUGCCAGGAGAUGGAUGGCAAAUCUUAUCACCUCUCUGAGCAGCAGUGUGUUUCCAUCUUCAGAGAGGGAUGGUGUGCCCACUGCCAGUCCCCCACAGUUGACCUGAGCAUGGCAGUGUAAGGAACUAUAUUGGGAAAUGACUUGAAGGAUUGACCAUCAUCUAGGCAUGAGGAACUAUUAGGAAGGCAAGGUUUGAAGUGAGGAGCCUGAAUUAAGAGCUGCGGACCCACGAAGAGGGUUCUGAAAAGCCAGAGGUCCAAGUCCCUUAUUGUGUGCUUCCUUUCUCAGUGGAGCCCCCACCCGUGGAGCCCCCGCCCGUGGAGCCCCCACCCGUGGAGCCCCCACCCGGGCCCUCAGAGGCAGAGCAGCAGCUGCAGGCAGAUGUGGAGCAGCUGCAAAAGGAACUGGAGAACCUGGCUGGACAGCUCCAUGCCCAGGUGCAGGAUAACAAUAGUCUGAGUCGCCUGAAUCAGCAGCAGGAGGAGCGGCUGCUGGAGCUCGAGCGUGCUGCGGAGCUCUGGGGCGAGCAGGAGCGCAAGCAGAUUCUGGAGAGCAUGCAGAACGACCGCACCACCAUCAGCCGCGCGCUCUCCCAGAACCGCGAGCUCAAGGAGCAGCUGGCGGAGCUGCAGAACGGCUUUGUGAGGCUGGUGCGUGGCCCAUGGGCUCACAGGCCUUCCCCAUCAAGUCCUUCUGGGCCUUUCUGUCUUGGCCUUCACCCCACCCCGCCCCCCAUGGUGGCUGUGAAGCACCCUGCAAGCUAAAGGCCUCGCUCAGGUGUCUGUGCAGGGAAGGAUAACUCUUUGACUGUGGCAGGUGGACACCCUGGGGUCUCUAGCUGCAUUGUAUGGCACUGAUUCCUGCUUUCUGUUCAGACGAAUGAGAACAUGGAGAUCACCAGUGCGCUGCAGUCAGAGCAGCACAUCAAGAAGGAGCUGGCCAAGAAGUUGGGUCAGCUGCAGGAGAAGCUGGGAGAGCUAACGGAGACGGUAACCCUUGCCCCAUGUGCCCUCACUGUAGGGGAAGAGACAGCCAUGAUGGGAGGCUUUAUUGCUUCACACAGCUAACCCUGGUUUCUUUAGCUUCAGUUACUGGGCACUAGUAGGGUGCACUUAAUAGGUGUGUGGCUCUCUUUGCUUUUCCACAUCUGUGGCCUGAAGUUCCGGUGGUGGGGAAAGAUGGUUACAAAGCGUGAGGCUAAGUGUUGGAGGCAUGGGGCUCUGUUACCCUCCACCACCAACCACCACCGUCACUUAUGGGCUGGGAUCAAGAACUGGAAGCAAGUCACACUUGUCCUUACACCCAGGGCCUUCCCACAGGUGGAGCUGAAGAGCCAGGAGGCUCAGGGUCUGCAACAGCAGCGAGACCAGUACCUGUCUCACCUGCAUCAAUACGUGGCAGCCUAUCAACAGCACGUGGCUGCCUAUCAGCAGCUGACCUCCGAGAAGGAGGCGCUGCACAAGCAGGUUCUGCUGCAGACUCAGCUUAUGGACCGGCUGCAGCAUGAGGAGGUGCAGGGCAAGAUGGCAGUGGAGAUGGCCCGCCAGGAGUUGCAGGAGACCCAGGUGAGGGGGCUGCUAAGGCCGGGCCCCUAAGUGGAGGACGUGGCCAUUCUGUGCCUUCUCACUCUCUUCCCAAUCCCGUAGGAGCGCCUAGAAGCCACCAGUCAGCAAAACCAACAGCUACAGGCCCAGCUGAGCCUCCUGGCUCUCCCUGGGGAAGGUGAGUGAAACCAUCCUGAGGAGGGGAGCCUGAAGAGGGACUGUGGUGGAACAGAGUUGAGGAGUUAGAGGAAGACUUCGGAACGUGCUGUUAAUCUCUGGGGAGGCUGGCCCAGGGGUACACAGUGAGGGGGCAGAAGUGGACCCUUUUUUUCCUGGGCCUUCCCUUGGGUUGUCUGAGGGAUCCCUCUGGCUGUCUGCAGUAGAAGAUGAAAUGGACGAGGAAGAAAAGGAGGAGGCGGCUUCUCGGCCCAGUUUGACCAUCCCAGAGGACCUGGACAGCCGAGAGGCCAUGGUGAGCUGUGCUCUCCUGUCCCUUCCCCAGCUCACCUUUUCUGCCUCCCUCUGUGGUCCCUCUGGAUGUCCUGAUACCUUGGUUUUUCCCACUCCCAUUUCCGCCAACACCCACACCUCCCGUGGAGACAGGGAUUGGAUACGUGCCCCCCUAGGAAAAAUAGUGACCCACUGAGGCCCAGGGGAGGGCUGCUCUGCUCUGCUCUCUGCUCCCUGGUUUGUCCCGAGCAUUUUUUCAAUAAAAAGGACAUGUCUGCCUCUAGGUGGUAUUUUUUAAUGCGGCUCUAGCCAAUGCCGAGGAAGAGAAGGCACGGCUGCGCAGGCAGCUGAGGGAGCAGCAGACACGCUGCCGGCGCCUGGCUUAUCUGGAAGCCACAUCCCAGAGUGAGCCCACAGAGCAAGCCCUGGUCCCCAGGAGUGGGGACAAUUGUGUGUCUGGGGAGAGCACCCAGGCUCUACAGAUGGCCAUGGAGAAGCUGCAGGUGAGUGAGCCUUUCCCAACAGAGGAAGUGUAGAUACAGGACAGGUCCCUCCUGAGUCUUGACCCUGCUAUUUUGGCCUCAGAGCCGCUUCCUGGAGGUCAUGCAGGAGAAGGUGGAGCUCAAGGAGCGGGUGGAGGAACUGGAACAUCGCUGCAUCCAGCUCUCUGGAGAGACGGAUACCAUCGGUGAGCCCAGCUGGGGCCCAAGGCAGUGGGGGUUGCAUAGGGGCCUGUUGGGGGAGCCCCAGCAUCUGAGUCCUGUGCCCUGCCCUCCCUGCAGGAGAGUAUAUUGCCCUCUACCAAAAUCAGAGGGCAGUGCUGAAGGAGCGCCACCGAGAGAAGGAGGAGUACAUCAGCCGACUGGCGCAGGACAAGGAGGAGAUGAAGGUAGGAGCCCCUGAACAUCUCUUCUCUGCGGGCCUGCAGGCUGGGCGGGGGCCGGGAUACUGAGCAUCUCUCCCUUCAGGUCAAGUUGCUGGAGCUGCAGGAGCUGGUGCUGCGGCUUGUGGGGGAGCGUAACGAGUGGCAGGGCAAGUUUCUGGCAGCGGCCCAGAGUCCUGCUGAAACCACCACUCCAGAGCCAGCAAGCCCCCAGGAAUUUGGAGCAACUGACAAGCAGGGUGGUGAGUAGAGACCUCAGGACGGGCUGACAGGAGGAGCAGCAGAGGGCUGCUCCGUGCUCAGAGGCCUUUCCUCUCUCCAAAGACCUUCAAGAGGUGAGCCUUGCUGACAGCGUGGAGCCGGCACAAGGAGAGGCUGGGGCGGCUUCUCCCCCUGAGAACCACACUGCGCAGCAGAUCAUACAGCUGCUGCGCAAGAUCCAGAACCCCCAGGAACGCCUCGGCCUGGGCACCAACCCCUGCGUCCCCUUCUUCUACCGUGCCGA
rnacentral:lncRNA from 1 species